UAGCUUGUUGGUGGGGUAACGGCCUACCAAGGCGAUGAUGCGUAGCCGAGUUGAGAGACUGAUCGGCCACAAUGGGACUGAGACACGGCCCAUACUCCUACGGGAGGCAGCAGUAGGGAAUCUUCCACAAUGGGCGCAAGCCUGAUGGAGCAACACCGCGUGAGUGAAGAAGGGUUUCGGCUCGUAAAGCUCUGUUGUUGAAGAAGAAUGUGCAAGAGAGUAACUGUUCUUGUAUUGACGGUAUUCAACCAGAAAGUCACGGCUAACUACGUGCCAGCAGCCGCGGUAAUACGUAGGUGGCAAGCGUUAUCCGGAUUUAUUGGGCGUAAAGCGAGCGCAGGCGGUUUUCUAAGUCUGAUGUGAAAGCCUUCGGCUUAACCGAAGAAGUGCAUCGGAAACUGGAUGACUUGAGUGCAGAAGAGGGCAGUGGAACUCCAUGUGUAGCGGUGGAAUGCGUAGAUAUAUGGAAGAACACCAGUGGCGAAGGCGGCUGCCUGGUCUGUAACUGACGCUGAGGCUCGAAAGCAUGGGUAGCGAACAGGAUUAGAUACCCUGGUAGUCCAUGCCGUAAACGAUGAGUGCUAGGUGGUUUGGAGGGUUUCCGCCCUUCAGUGCCGGAGCUAACGCAUUAAGCACUCCGCCUGGGGAGUACGACCGCAAGGUUGAAACUCAAGGAAUUGACGGGGGCCCGCACAAGCGGUGGAAGCAUUGGUGGGUUUAAUUCGAAGCUACGCGAAGAACCCUUACCACGUCUUUGACAUCUUUGCGCCAACCCUAGAAGAUAGGGCGUUUCCCUUUCGG
rnacentral:rRNA from 1 species